CAGUCGCCGCGGUAAUACGUAGGUGGCAAGCGUUGUCCGGAAUUAUUGGGCGUAAAGGGCUCGCAGGCGGUUUCUUAAGUCUGAUGUGAAAGCCCCCGGCUCAACCGGGGAGGGUCAUUGGAAACUGGGAAACCUGAGUGCAGAAGAGGAGAGUGGAAUUCCACGUGUAGCGGUGAAAUGCGUAGAGAUGUGGAGGAACACCGGUGGCGAAGGCGACUCUCUGGUCUGUAACUGACGCUGAGGAGCGAAAGCGUGGGGAGCGAACAGGAUUAGAUACCCGAGUAGUCCCUGUCUCUUAUAA
rnacentral:rRNA from 1 species